ensembl:lncRNA
AAAGCAUUCAUGUUGUGAGUGUAGACUUGCAAUGCUGACAGGAAGGAUGAGGAAAGAUUAAAAAAGAGGAAGAUUCACUGUCACAAGUUCCCAAAAACAUGCUUCAGUGUGGCGAAAUCCCCCUUUUGAAUCUUCUGCUAUUUCAUGCAGCUCAUAAUGUGAAACCACAAGGUGGCUCCUGCAGUCAUGUGAUAUGAUGGAAACAGUGGAAAAGUUCUUGACAAUCCUCCCCUACAACUUACAAAUUGAAUGCCAUUUGCGGACUGCCUUCUGACAAGGUAUAUGAAAUUAGAGUACAGCAAUAGCUACGUACAUACAGGGCACAAGGCAAAGGAAAUUGCAAUCAAAAUCCAAUAAUUAGAAGAAUGGAUCUCAGCAGCCAGUCUUUCAAUUUGCCUCCAGGGGCCUGCAAUUCAUCUGAGAAAUCAGCAAUGUUGCUGCCAGCAGCACCACCACCAGCAUACCAGGACAAUCCUGCUGGAUAUCCUCACUCCUUUCCAAGCCAGCCAAUCCCCCAGGGCCCCUACACCCAGGGGUCGUAUCCAGGACAAACUGUGGUCGCUGUACAGCCUGCAGUUUUUGUGACUGCUGCUCCACUGGCCAAUCCAGUGCCAGAUUACUUGGGUUACUCCAUCUUUACCAUGCUGUGCUGCUGUUUACCUCUGGGAAUUGCUGCGCUGAUUUACUCCUGCUCUACUCGAGAUGCCAACUACUCAGGACAUCGAGAAUUAGCUGAGAGGAGCUCCAAAACGACACUCAUCCUGAAUCAUGUCAGCCUUGACUCGCACUGCUAACAGUACUGGACAGAGGACUAAAGCAGUGAGAAACUCUCAAAUUGCACUCGUCCUGAACCAUUUAGCCCUUGUGGUGGGCCUCAUCUUGACUGCAUCACUCAUCUUCUAUAAAUUGCAGAACAAAUGAUUGAAAAAUGUAUUAAGCAUAUUGAGUUUUGUACUCUCACAUGCAAUGUUUUCAUAAUGCUGACUGAAUAAUGCUGUACUGCGUUUAGCUAACUGAGACUUGUCAUAGCACUUGCAUAUCAUUGCUCUCUUGUUGAUCCAUUGUCUUCAUUUGUAAGUCGCUUUGGAUAAAAGUGUCUGCUAAAUGACUAAAUGUAAAUGAAUUAUUGUGAGAUUUUUUGUUCCGUUUUCAGAUUUUCAUAUUGCAUAAAAUAUAUUGUACUAUUAAUAUAUGCAAAAUCUUAUUUUUCAUAUUUUA